rnacentral:lncRNA from 1 species
GAGAGAGAGAGAGAGAGAGAGAGCACAUUCAUUUUUUCCCAUAACUUCUUUCCCCCAAAACUUCAGUUUCAGAACUUCAUUCUUUUCUCUAGAACUUCAUGCUUUUUUCCCUCUCUUCAUCUUCAACCCAUUCUAGAAACUCCAAUUAACUGUGUUAAAAGAGAAAAGGGCAUAAACAUCACUAACACAUUCAUCUUCAUCCCUGAAUUUUAAAUUCUCAAAUCUAGACAUACAACCCAUUACACACACAUCUAUCAUCAAAUCAUAAUCAAUCCUUUAAAUUGGAUUCGAUUCCAUGGAGAAGAGAGAAGAGAAAACAGAGAGACAAAGCUUCUUUGCAUCAGAUUCGAUUCGAAGACCGACGAACUUGUUGUUAGCGAGGAAUAUUAAGAAAGGUUCAACAUCUUAUCUCUCAUCGGGUCUCUCGCAGAUUUGCGCUUUCUGGAUUUCAAUUGGAUUCGGAUUUGGGGAUUAAGGUUGUG